rnacentral:rRNA from 1 species
UAAAGUGGCGCACGGGUGAGUAACACGUGACUAACCUACCCUCGAGUGGGGAAUAACCUAGAGAAAUCUGGGCUAAUACCGCAUAACACUUACGAGUCAAAGCAGAAAUGCGCUUGAGGAGGGGGUCGCGGCAGAUUAGCUAGUUGGCGGGGUAAUGGCCCACCAAGGCAAUGAUCUGUAUCCGGCCUGAGAGGGCGCACGGACACACUGGAACUGAAACACGGUCCAG